AGGAAAGAAAAAAACAGAACUAAUGACAGACGUCAAAUUUUACAUUUUUUUUAUUAUAAUUUUUUAUUUAAAUUUAAGUUUAUAUAUAUUGAGAAGCUAGCCAUUGACGCUUGUGGGGUUAUAAAAGAACAAAAAGCUCAAGAUUUUUAAUUUUCCUCUUGCCUUAAAUUCUGAACUUUUGUAUUUUAUUUUUUUUUCUACUUAAAGAAAAUAUAAAAUAUUUUUACUAUGUUUACUCUGCGUACAGUGGCUGAUUUUUUUUUUCUUUUGUUUUCUCUGUUUUCAUGGUUUUGUUAUGUAUAAAAAGUAAAACUAGUAUGGUACAAAAGGCUAUAAACAAAAAUUAAUGAUAAUAAUUUGUAGCAACAUCGUUUUGGCUGGUUGUUGUGCAAACAAGUCAUCCAUCCAAGUCUUAAUUUCUGUGCAACGCGCUCUUUACUUUGAUGUGAAUGAUCAUCGCUGGAACAGUUACUCUUCAACAU
rnacentral:lncRNA from 1 species